UGGCCUUGACAUACUAAGAACUUUCCAGAGAUGGAUUGGUGCCUUCGGGAACUUAGAUACAGGUGCUGCAUGGCUGUCGUCAGCUCGUGUCGUGAGAUGUUGGGUUAAGUCCGCAACGAGCGCAACCCUUUUCCUUAUUGCCAGCGGGUAAUGCCGGGAACUUUAAGGAUACUGCCAGUGACAAACUGGAGGAAGGCGGGGACGACGUCAAGUCAUCAUGGCCCUUACGGCCAGGGCUACACACGUGCUACAAUGGUCGGUACAAAGGGUUGCUACCUCGCGAGAGGAUGCUAAUCUCAAAAAGCCGAUCGUAGUCCGGAUCGCAGUCUGCAACUCGACUGCGUGAAGUCGGAAUCGCUAGUAAUCGCGGAUCAGAAUGCCGCGGUGAAUACGUUCCCGGGCCUUGUACACACCGCCCGUCACACCAUGGGAGUUUGUUGCACCAGAAGUAGGUAGUCUAACCGCAAGGAGGACGCUUACCACGGUGUGGCCGAUGACUGGGGUGAAGUCGUAACAAGGUAAGCGUAGAUGA
rnacentral:rRNA from 1 species